UUUGAAGUGCCUGAAGUUUAAGGGAUAUCUUGAUGUGAUAUAAAUGAUUAGUUGAUCCUUCAUUU
rnacentral:tRNA from 1 species